ensembl:lncRNA
AGAAGUGGCACUAGUUUCAACACAGGGAAUGUUUUACAUGUUAUUCACAUCGUCAAAGUAACCUUCACAUUUCUCCAACAACACAGUGUAACAGCAUCACCAACUCAUAACCUGUAAACGCAGUUUUCUUCACACGUGAACCCAGAAAUCCUGUAGUAGAAAACAUCAACCAGCUAUCCUGGUAUAAAUCACAUGAUCAAAUCACAUGAAGAACUGUAAUGCUGUAGAAAUGUUAGCGCUGCGCAGGUGUACACACACUUUCUCACAGUCACCUCUGUGAGCAACACAAGGUAGUGAAUGACACCCCUGGUAGAUGCACAGACACAGAAAGUGGCAUUUAAAAGGUUAAAUCAUCACGCAACCUCGAAUGUUGCUGUCAUCUUUCCGCUCCUGUAAAAAGAAACACACAUAGAUUCAUCUGCACCUUUGUCAGGUGGGGGUUAACUUCGCACAGUGAUGUCAGUCAGUCUGUCAGCUUCUGUCCGCUUUUACCAGUCAGUCAGUUUUAUUUUCUCUCCCUCAUUCAUUCAUGCAUUCAUUCAUUCGUUCUUUGCUGACAGUGGGAAUUAUUGUCGCAUUUUCAUUUCCACUUCUCAGCAAAAUGACGUCAUUUCAAAAAGAAAAGAAUUUAGACUGGAUUUUCUCGUUGAAUCCUUUUGGACAGGAACUUAUUUUCUAAUUGUCCCAGAUAAGUGACUUCCUCCUGAGCCCAUUUUAAUGUGGAGAAACUCACUUGCAACAAUUUUCUCGACGACGCGUCGUAUAGCGCUUCUGUUCUAAUCGUGCAGAUCUGCUUAAACAGAGAUCAUCAAACAAAACUUUCAGUGCACUAUGAAAGUAUCAAAAUAAAAAGGCCUUGUUCAGUCAUGACACAUGCUCCUCAUCUCAGGAGGGUAAAUCAUACCAUCAUACUAAUUGGCAGGCUCAACUUCACAACAAAAGAAAAAUCAUCAGCUAGAUUAACUCCAAACCAACCAUCAGCCGCACAACACACAACAUAAGCCUCAUGUCUCAUUAGCUAUGAAUUUUAAUCCCCAGGACUGUACUUUUCACUCAUUUAGGCCACAAAUUUUAUUUAGUUUUCCUUUUUCCCGUCAUCAUAAAACAUGUGACAUGUUGUCAUACAUUCCACAAAAGACGUUUGUUAUGUAUUCAGAGUUUGGUAUCUGGGUGCAGGAUUCACUCGCACAUCACAACAGGAAACUCAGUGUUUUAG